rnacentral:rRNA from 1 species
ACAAUGAAGAGUUUGAUCCUGGCUCAGGAUGAACGCUAGCUACAGGCUUAACACAUGCAAGUCGAGGGGCAGCAUUUUAGUUUGCUUGCAAACUGAAGAUGGCGACCGGCGCACGGGUGAGUAACACGUAUCCAACCUGCCGAUAACUCCGGGAUAGCCUUUCGAAAGAAAGAUUAAUACCGGAUAGCAUACGAAUAUCGCAUGAUAUUUUUAUUAAAGAAUUUCGGUUAUCGAUGGGGAUGCGUUCCAUUAGUUUGUUGGCGGGGUAACGGCCCACCAAGACUACGAUGGAUAGGGGUUCUGAGAGGAAGGUCCCCCACAUUGGAACUGAGACACGGUCCAAACUCCUACGGGAGGCAGCAGUGAGGAAUAUUGGUCAAUGGGCGAGAGCCUGAACCAGCCAAGUAGCGUGAAGGAUGAAGGCUCUAUGGGUCGUAAACUUCUUUUAUAUGGGAAUAAAGUUUUCCACGUGUGGAAUUUUGUAUGUACCAUAUGAAUAAGGAUCGGCUAACUCCGUGCCAGCAGCCGCGGUAAUACGGAGGAUCCGAGCGUUAUCCGGAUUUAUUGGGUUUAAAGGGAGCGUAGGUGGAUUGUUAAGUCAGUUGUGAAAGUUUGCGGCUCAACCGUAAAAUUGCAGUUGAAACUGGCAGUCUUGAGUACAGUAGAGGUGGGCGGAAUUCGUGGUGUAGCGGUGAAAUGCUUAGAUAUCACGAAGAACUCCGAUUGCGAAGGCAGCUCACUAGACUGUCACUGACACUGAUGCUCGAAAGUGUGGGUAUCAAACAGGAUUAGAUACCCUGGUAGUCCACACAGUAAACGAUGAAUACUCGCUGUUUGCGAUAUACAGUAAGCGGCCAAGCGAAAGCAUUAAGUAUUCCACCUGGGGAGUACGCCGGCAACGGUGAAACUCAAAGGAAUUGACGGGGGCCCGCACAAGCGGAGGAACAUGUGGUUUAAUUCGAUGAUACGCGAGGAACCUUACCCGGGCUUAAAUUGCAACAGAAUAUAUUGGAAACAGUAUAGCCGUAAGGCUGUUGUGAAGGUGCUGCAUGGUUGUCGUCAGCUCGUGCCGUGAGGUGUCGGCUUAAGUGCCAUAACGAGCGCAACCCUUAUCUUUAGUUACUAACAGGUGAUGCUGAGGACUCUAGAGAGACUGCCGUCGUAAGAUGUGAGGAAGGUGGGGAUGACGUCAAAUCAGCACGGCCCUUACGUCCGGGGCUACACACGUGUUACAAUGGGGGGUACAGAAGGCGGCUACCUGGUGACAGGAUGCUAAUCCCAAAAACCUCUCUCAGUUCGGAUCGAAGUCUGCAACCCGACUUCGUGAAGCUGGAUUCGCUAGUAAUCGCGCAUCAGCCAUGGCGCGGUGAAUACGUUCCCGGGCCUUGUACACACCGCCCGUCAAGCCAUGAAAGCCGGGGGUACCUGAAGUACGUAACCGCAAGGAGCGUCCUAGGGUAAAACUGGUAAUUGGGGCUAAGUCGUAACAAGGUAGCCGUACCGGAAGGUGCGGCUGGAACACCUCCUUU